rnacentral:hammerhead_ribozyme from 1 species
AUCCACUGACGAGUCCCAAGUAGGACGAUAUACGCAUCCUGGAU